rnacentral:lncRNA from 1 species
CUCGGCCUGUAGGGCACACCGUGCUAGGUGUGACUGUCUAUUCGAAUCAGUGGAUUAUAAGACAGGAGGUCGCGUUUAAUACACAAAUUUAAAAUACGUUUUCAAGGUGUUGACAAAUACAAGUGAAUCGCCGUGGAAUUAUUUAAUUAUAUUUGGUGCUAUUAUUUUAUUUGAAUUCAAAUAAGUUACUAAACUAAGAAAUGAACCGGUUAAAGUAUGG